AUGUAUUGGCGUUGCUGCAAAGGAAGUGGGAGUCUUCCUUGGCAGGGAUUGAAGGCGGGUACCAAAAAGCAAAAAUAUGAUAGAAUCAGUGAGAAGAAUAUGACAACUUCCAUAGAGGUGCUUUGCAAAUUAUAUCCCUCAGAAGGCUUUUUCGAUAUCUAUUUAUUCGAGAAGGCUAUUAAUUUGACUAUAUUUUUGACUGGACUAUAUUUGAGUUUCCGCAAAUCAGUGGAAGCUCUAGAGGGACGCAUGACAAUGGCAAUGCGACUAUGA
rnacentral:lncRNA from 1 species